rnacentral:rRNA from 1 species
GGUUAAGCGACUAAGCGUACACGGUGGAUGCCCUGGCAGUCAGAGGCGAUGAAGGACGUGCUAAUCUGCGAUAAGCGUCGGUAAGGUGAUAUGAACCGUUAUAACCGGCGAUUUCCGAAUGGGGAAACCCAGUGUGAUUCGUCACACUAUCAUUAACUGAAUCCAUAGGUUAAUGAGGCGAACCGGGGGAACUGAAACAUCUAAGUACCCCGAGGAAAAGAAAUCAACCGAGAUUCCCCCAGUAGCGGCGAGCGAACGGGGAGGAGCCCAGAGCCUGAAUCAGUGUGUGUGUUAGUGGAAGCGUCUGGAAAGGCGCGCGAUACAGGGUGACAGCCCCGUACACAAAAAUGCACAUACUGUGAGCUCGAUGAGUAGGGCGGGACACGUGGUAUCCUGUCUGAAUAUGGGGGGACCAUCCUCCAAGGCUAAAUACUCCUGACUGACCGAUAGUGAACCAGUACCGUGAGGGAAAGGCGAAAAGAACCCCGGCGAGGGGAGUGAAAAAGAACCUGAAACCGUGUACGUACAAGCAGUGGGAGCACGCUUCGGCGUGUGACUGCGUACCUUUUGUAUAAUGGGUCAGCGACUUAUAUUCUGUAGCAAGGUUAACCGAAUAGGGGAGCCGAAGGGAAACCGAGUCUUAACUGGGCGUUAAGUUGCAGGGUAUAGACCCGAAACCCGGUGAUCUAGCCAUGGGCAGGUUGAAGGUUGGGUAACACUAACUGGAGGACCGAACCGACUAAUGUUGAAAAAUUAGCGGAUGACUUGUGGCUGGGGGUGAAAGGCCAAUCAAACCGGGAGAUAGCUGGUUCUCCCCGAAAGCUAUUUAGGUAGCGCCUCGUGAAUUCAUCUCCGGGGGUAGAGCACUGUUUCGGCAAGGGGGUCAUCCCGACUUACCAACCCGAUGCAAACUGCGAAUACCGGAGAAUGUUAUCACGGGAGACACACGGCGGGUGCUAACGUCCGUCGUGAAGAGGGAAACAACCCAGACCGCCAGCUAAGGUCCCAAAGUCAUGGUUAAGUGGGAAACGAUGUGGGAAGGCCCAGACAGCCAGGAUGUUGGCUUAGAAGCAGCCAUCAUUUAAAGAAAGCGUAAUAGCUCACUGGUCGAGUCGGCCUGCGCGGAAGAUGUAACGGGGCUAAACCAUGCACCGAAGCUGCGGCAGCGACACUAUGUGUUGUUGGGUAGGGGAGCGU